rnacentral:rRNA from 1 species
CCUACGGGAGACAGCAGUGGGGGAUAUUGGACAAUGGGGGGAACCCUGAUCCAGCGACGCCGCGUGAGUGAAGAAGUAUUUCGGUAUGUAAAGCUCUGUCAGCAGGGAAGAAAGAAAUGACGGUACCUUACCAAGAAGCCCCGGCUAACUACGUGCCAGCAGCCGCGGUAAUACGUAGGGGGCAAGCGUUAUCCGGAAUUACUGGGUGUAAAGGGAGCGUAGACGGUUAAGUAAGUCUGGAGUGAAAGGCCGGGGCCCAACCCCGGGACUGCUCUGGAAACUAUUGAACUUGAGUGCAGGAGAGGUAAGCGGAAUUCCUAGUGUAGCGGUGAAAUGCGUAGAUAGUAGGAGGAACACCAGUGGCGAAGGCGGCUUACUGGAUUGUAACUGACGUUGAGGCUCGAAAGCGUGGGGAGCAAACAGGAUUAGAUACCCGUGUAGUC